AACGAACGCUGGCGGCGUGCCUAACACAUGCAAGUCGAACGAGAAAGGGGCUUCGGCUCCGAGUACUGUGGCGCACGGGUGAGUAACACGUCGGUAACCUGCCUCUCAGAUUGGUAUAACUCGUCGAAAGAUGAGCUACUACUGCAUAAGACCACAGUUCCCGCGGGAACAGGGGUCAGAGGUAGCCUCUGCUUGCAAGCUAUCUCUUAGCUAUGCGCCUGCGCACGAUUAGCUUGUUGGUAGGGUAACGGCGUACCAAGGCGAGGAAGGUUAGCUGGUCGGAGAGGAUGAUCAGCCAGACUGGGAGGGUGACACGGUCCAGACGGAUAGGGGAGGCGGCAGUGGGGAAUAUGGCGCAAGGAGCGGAAGAUAGACGAAGCAGCGCGGAAGGAGGAAGGAGGAACUUCGGGUCGUAGAGCUCUGUCGUGAGGAUCGAAUGCGCCUGAGGUUAAGAGCCUCGGGAGGUGACGGUACCUGCAAAGGAAGCACCGGCUAACUAUGUG
rnacentral:rRNA from 1 species